ensembl:lncRNA
GCUCCGUAGGGCGGGCUGCCUGCCCUGGCUGGACUGGAUUAAAUCUGUGUUCUAGUGGGUGUGGCAGACCUGUGGGCUAACAGGCCAGGGGAAGAACCUCAAUGGCGCCUACCAGGGUCCCUGUCAGCACGCCUGGACCAGGUCAGAACAAUGGCCCCCACCAAUGUCUCAGUCUCUGGAGAAGUCUCUCCUCUCACCAAGAUGCCCCCAGAGCCCAGCAGGUGAGUCUCCUUUCACCAAACCACUGUCACACUUCUCUCUGUGGAUUUUAGGUUGCUGCAAUGAGUGAGUUUGUGCGUGGGCCUUUUAAGACCCGAGUCUUUUCGGCUUUCAGCCAAUGGCUUUUCUGGGGGUAUCCUUGCUGCAGUUAAUAGCCAGCAAAGCCAGACAGUAAGACCCCCGUCUCAGUUGGGCUGAGUCUGAAGGAUGCUUAUAGCAGUAUCAGCUCCACUCCAGACCUCACUUCUCCAGGGAGGGCUGCGUACCUGAGGGUGUCUCCUGCCUGGCCAGCUGAGAAGCUCCACUGCUCCCAAAGGUUUUUUUACACAGGGAAGAAAAGAAUGGUGUUUCAGCCCACACAGGAAGUAGUUGUGCCUGACCUGGGCCCGCUCCUGGGAGCAUAUUGCACACAUGAAUGUCACCCAAAAGCACAGUGUGUGUCUUUGGGGGGACAGAGCGCUAAUAUCUGUCUUAUUGGGUAAAAUCUACUGCAGUGCAAUGACUGAGUUUUACAGACUGGGCGUCGCCGGUGGCCCGCACCCAGCGCCUUACCUUAGGUGGGAAUUCAAAGGAUACGCGUGAAAGUCUUCCUUAGCACUCAGUUCAAGCCUGUACCACGAGAAGAGGAAGCAAAGCUGCUGACACGUGACCACCAAAGACAAAACAGAACUUAUUCUUCAGCCGUUUGGAGUGUUUCUUUCACCAGAAGGCAUUUUCCUUUGGCACAACACAUUGUCUUUGUUUUGACACUAUUAACAAAAAUUUGUACCCCCUACACCCUGGAUGAACAGAGAAAGGCUUGUUUUCUUCCUUUGGCACUUGGGCACUCUAUGGGGUAUAGGAAGCUGGUACAAAUCCUGCUCCCAGGAACAACACUGGUGAACACUGUGGCCAAGAUCCGGAGAGAACAGAGCAGGAUCAGGAGGAGACUUCACGGGCCACAGAAGUGUAGCGCAGACGCAAAGAAGAGAUGGAUCAGAUUCCAGUCUGUCUAGGGCAAAAGCACCAGAAGGCCUUUGCAAACCAGAGGACUCAGCAUCUUCUUUGGAAAUAUGAGCUUGUUCUGAAGAGGGUUGCCACGGAGCACUCCCUGAAAUCUAGUUUAAUUCUUUUCCGGCAACAAAGAUCAAGCAGAGAAGACAGAGGCAAUCCAUUUUCACCAAGUGUGGCCCCUAGAGGUCAGUGGCUACUAGUGUGCGUCCCUGCCGCCUCAUUUGCUGGUCACUGACAUUGAAGUAAAAAUCCACAUCGACAGGCACGGAUUCACAUGUGCGCAUGCAUACACACACACACACACACACACACACACACACACACACACAAGCACACACUGGCUCUCACAUGCAGCUGGCACUCAUGCUAAAGCUGUUCCGUAGAUGCAGGGGCAUGGAUGAGUUAGUUGCUUGUAAGCCUGAGCUUGGAGACAAACCUGCAGCACUAGUCUCUUAGGACCAGAAAAAAAAGCAUUCAUGCAUCGCCACCUAAUGGUACUUAUACCUCAUUACAGUCUUGGAUCUGCAUGAGAUCAACAGGUAGAUGGGUCCAACAAGUAAGACUCAUAGAUGGAAACUUGAACUUCAUGUUCCAAAUGUGUGUCUCAACUGUCCUGCUGCCACUCAUGGAGUUGUGUGCAGUGCUGGUUGCCCGCAACAAGGCUUGUGGCAGUGCUGCUUCAAUACCCCUGUGCUAAUUCCUCUUCUUCCGGGGGCUUCCAGUGACUCCUCCCGUGCUUCCGAGCUAUUCCCUUAGCACAAAGCUUUGAUCCCUUUUAACAUACCCUCCUGAGAACUAUCACUUCCAGCUGUUGUCACUCACUUUCCCAGAUGUUGGAUCCGGCUCUGAGGAUAGGUUUCAUCUACUGCGUGAUUUUUGACAAAGGCUAACCUGCCACAUUCGCCUCCAUCUUAUGCUCCAGGGUCCAGCCUGCCUUUGUGGGUAAGCCCUGAGUCAAUGGGAUUUGGAAGCCAAAGUGCAUUUCAUCCCCAAGUGGACUUUCGAGCGCUGAGCUCUGACUCACUCAGAGUCUGUGGGGAUCUUUGGGGCCUGUUGCUACACACUGGUUAAAUCAAAUCACAACCUCUGAAGUCAGCUGAGUGGCUCCUGUUGCCUUCUGAGAGCCCAGGGAGAUUGGAAAUCCCGAGUAACCGAUAAGGAAAGAAGGGCCUUUGCAGAUGAUCAGGCAAGACAGUGUUUGUGUUUAUGACGCCAGGCUGGAAGGGGCCUGCACCUGCCCUCUUCUCUCCGGGCUAAGCAAUUCUCUCCUCAGCUUCUCCCAACACAGAGAGAGUGGGUCAUUAUCUCCUCUGAACUUGGAAGAACAAAGUCCAGAGAAGUUAAGCCACUUGCCCGUGACCACACAAUGGAGGCCAGAGGAGAAGAAGCUAGGAGGACCCAACUUCCAGGCUUUGGCCCCUCCUUCUGGGGUCAGGCUGGCCCAAGCUUCACAGACACCCUGCUGAACUUCCCCUUCUGUGAAAUGACAUUUACAUGCAAAAUGCACAUUGUUGGUUGGAAGGUGAAGAGUCGUAACAGGUCUCUAAAUCUACUGCACCUUCCAGUAGAUCCUUGGGCAGAAAGCUGGAACCAUUUCUGUUAAAGUAAGGCAUGAGCUAUUCACACGCCUUACCCUUUUAUCUGCAACAGUGGAAUGUACUAAUGUACCAGGUCGGGGUGGGAGGAAAGUCUGGCUGUGACAAACCAUGUUCUCUCUCUCUCUCUCUUUUCUUCUCCACCUUUACUUCUCUUCCCUCUCCAUCCCUCUCUUGAAUCCUUCCUGAAUAAUUCCUUACUGAUCAGAGUUUGAUCAGGCUUCUUUUUUUUUUUUUUUAAUCUUAUUCAGGAAUUUUUUUUAUCUCGAAUGCAAUUCUAGAUAACUAAUUUUGUAAGUAUUGCUCCACCUGAAUCUUUAAGGAUCCCUUAAACUUACCCUGUCCAAAGUUGACCUCGUCAUCUUUCCUUCGUAUUGGAUGGACUGAGGGAGCAAUCCAUGAGGCCUUAAUUCCAUGCAAUGAACAUGAUAGAAACUGUCUGAUAAAAGUGGUCCCAGCUUCCUUUUCCCACUUGCACUCAGCAUCCUCCAUUAAGAGGAGGAAACAAAUGUUACCCAGCUGUAGCUGGAUGAACCAGAGAAUGUUGGACAAGCUAAAGAUGCCCCUAGGUAUGCAGGGCACAAGAGAGACCAGCCACCUAUUAAGGGACUAACUGGAACUCUGUCCAGAAGAAUCUCAACAAAAAAAAUUUGCUGGCAACAAAUUGUCCUUUGAUUAUGAGUCCAGCUGCCCAUUCUAAGGUGAGGAAAACUAGCACCCUAACAGAGUAACCAACUCUUUUUGCCCAGGACUUUCCCAGUCCUGAACUGAAGGCCUUACUCAAAGAAACCUCUUAGUCGCGGACAAAUCAAGAUGGUUGGUCAUUCCAGGCCCUAACGUUGUGCUGCUGCUGAGGUGGUAACAUCAUCUCCUUCACCCUUUCUUAUCUCUUUGCAAUAAAUGUCCGUAGCUGCGAAUCAUCUAGAUGCAUCUCUUCUAUGAAAUCCAUGUGCCACCUGUCCUGCAGGAUGGCACUCUCUCUCCUCCAGCCCUGUUCCAUGUCCCCAGUCCUGGCCCAGCUUCUUUUUUUCCAGUCAAUACUCCCCUGACUUAUUCUAUCCAUGUUCUAGGUGGAAACAUUUGUCAUCUUUUCUUGACUAUUUUCUCCAUUACCAACAGGCAAUUGAUCACCAAGUUCUAUUGAUUUAUAUUUUGAAAUGUCUGCAGAAUCCACCCUUCUCAACUUUUGCUACCAUCAUGAUAAUAAUUAUAAUAAAAACAAAAAAUUAUAAAAGCAAAAUAAAUAAAUUUUUAUAAUUAUAA